rnacentral:rRNA from 1 species
CCCUAUGGGGUGCACGAAGCGGGUGUUGCGAUGGAUAGUACUGUCGAUGCGAUCAGUGGCAUUGAAAAAGGUUCAAAGCAAAUGGAGCAGGCGGUAGAACUAAUCACUGAUAUUGCUGAACAAACCAAUUUGCUUGCGCUGAAUGCGGCAAUUGAGGCGGCGCGGGCUGGCGAACACGGGAAAGGGUUUGCCGUAGUUGCUGACGAAGUCCGUAGCCUUGCCGAACGAAGUGCGUCAACCGCGAAGGAGAUUAAAACACGUAUUAAAGAGAACCUCGAUAGUGUGAGUGCGGGUGUACAGAUAUCUCAAACCGCGGGCCAGAAAAUUCAACAAAUUGUUGCGAAUAUUGAACGAAUAACGAUGCAGCUAUCGACAAUUUCGGCUUCAACUCAGGAGCAGGCUGCGGCGAUGGAGCAGAAUACGUCGAUCACUGAGGCAAAUGCCUCGGCAUCGGAGGAAUUGGCGGGAGGGC